rnacentral:rRNA from 1 species
AUAUUGCACAAUGGGGGAAACCCUGAUGCAGCCAUGCCGCGUGUGUGAAGAAGGCCUUCGGGUUGUAAAGCACUUUCAGUAGGGAGGAAAGGUAGCAGCUUAAUACGCUGUUGCUGUGACGUUACCUACAGAAGAAGGACCGGCUAACUCCGUGCCAGCAGCCGCGGUAAUACGGAGGGUCCGAGCGUUAAUCGGAAUUACUGGGCGUAAAGCGUGCGCAGGCGGUUUGUUAAGCGAGAUGUGAAAGCCCCGGGCUCAACCUGGGAAUUGCAUUUCGAACUGGCGAACUAGAGUCUUGUAGAGGGGGGUAGAAUUCCAGGUGUAGCGGUGAAAUGCGUAGAGAUCUGGAGGAAUACCGGUGGCGAAGGCGGCCCCCUGGACAAAGACUGACGCUCAGGCACGAAAGCGUGGGGAGCAAACAGGAUUAGAUACCCUGGUAGUCCACGCCGUAAACGAUGUCUACUCGGAGUUUGGUGUCUUGAACACUGGGCUCUCAAGCUAACGCAUUAAGUAGACCGCCUGGGGAGUACGGCCGCAAGGUUAAAACUCAAAUGAAUUGACGGGCCCCC